GCGAACGCUGGCGGCAGGCUUAACACAUGCAAGUCGAGCGGGCCCUUCGGGGUCAGCGGCGGACGGGUGAGUAACGCGUGGGAACGUGCCUUCUGGUUCGGAAUAACUCAGGGCAACUUGAGCUAAUACCGGAUACGCCCUUUUGGGGAAAGGUUUACUGCCGGAAGAUCGGCCCGCGUCUGAUUAGCUAGUUGGUGGGGUAACGGCCUACCAAGGCGACGAUCAGUAGCUGGUCUGAGAGGAUGAUCAGCCACACUGGGACUGAGACACGGCCCAGACUCCUUCGGGAGGCAGCAGUGGGGAAUAUUGGACAAUGGGCGCAAGCCUGAUCCAGCCAUGCCGCGUGAGUGAUGAAGGCCUUAGGGUUGUAAAGCUCUUUUAUCCGGGACGAUAAUGACGGUACCGGAGGAAUAAGCCCCGGCUAACUUCGUG
rnacentral:rRNA from 1 species